GGUGACUCUCUCAGGAGGUUGAAUAGGGUUAGAAAGACGGCAUGACUAUAUCUCUAAUGUAGACCUAAAGUGCUUCCUAGAGCUAGGGACCAGGAUUCUAAAUGAGACCUGAGGGAAUGGAGCUGUUGUUGACAAGAGCUGUUAGACAAACAGGACAUGGAGGAGGAGAGGUCAAAAGUCCGUCUGACUCACCUGUGCUGAGUGACUUGAAUGCCAUCUAAUCUAACUUCAAGGUGAGGACAGUCUGUUCUGAAGGUCUACACAUUAAUGCUUCCUAUUGGGAAUUCAAAUCGGCAAUUUGUUCUUCUUCUGGUUGUUUGAAUCUUCAAAAUAGAGGGAAGACACCUGGAUGAAACAUUUUCACAGACUCUGCAAUUCCCUUAAGAGGAUCCCAGAGCCCUUAAGCUUCUCUUAGAUUCCUCUGAUUUUUUUCAGCCCAAGGACUGUUACCACAUGUCUUCCAUCUUGCCCACAAUUUUAGCAGGCCCACAUUUACAAGAUGAACAUCUGCAGGAGACCUUUGCUCUAUUAUCAAUUCGAAGUGUUUCCUGCAAAGUCCACCAAAUAUUCAAGAUGGCUUCACUUGCUUAUUGGCUGAAGGUCUGCAAGGACUCAAUUCACAUAUCUGAUCAUACCUGGAGUCCAGACUUUCUCCUGAUGCCUGACCCCUUUGCCAUUAGGUCGGCUCCGUAUGACUGAGUUCUAGCCAGUGAGGUAUGGGCAGAAGUGAUGUGUACCAAUUGCGAGCUCGACUUUUGAAAUCAUCCCACGUGAUCCUCCUGCCAUCUACCAGCCAUCCUUUUUGAUCUUGAAGGUCUUAUGCCUCAGAUUGUGUAACUACAGGAUGAAGGAAGGCCACUCAACCCACACUUGGACAUGAUGUUCUUUUUGAGGGGAGUCUCUCUGAUGCUUGGAAUGAAUCCUGCUGAAUCAAUGCUGAUGCUUGGAGAUCUUCAAGUCUUUUCCCUUUUUCCCAUUGCUCAUGAUGUCUAUAUAACCUCCAAACAUGCAUCCCACUCCUCUGCCGAAAGACCAUUUUUUUAUAUCUUCAGUGAUGGUCUAGGCCAGGUUAAUUGACUUUUCUUUUUUCUUAAGCCAACUAAAGUCCUCACCACAAA
rnacentral:lncRNA from 1 species